rnacentral:rRNA from 1 species
CAGUCGCCGCGGUAAUACGGAGGGGGCUAGCGUUGUUCGGAAUUACUGGGCGUAAAGCGCACGUAGGCGGCUUGGUAAGUUAGAGGUGAAAGCCCAGGGCUCAACCCUGGAAUUGCCUUUAAGACUGCCGAGCUAGUAGGUGAGAGAGGUAAGUGGAAUUCCGAGUGUAGAGGUGAAAUUCGUAGAUAUUCGGAAGAACACCAGUGGCGAAGGCGGCUUACUGGCUCAUUCUAGACGCUGAGGUGCGAAAGCGUGGGGAGCAAACAGGAUUAGAUACCCGCGUAGUCCCUGUCUCUUAUAA